CAACCAUCGCCCCUCAAUAUAUUGCUGAGAGAACUACUUGGAAAAACACCGCCGAAGUCAAUCAGGUUAAUUACAUCUUAUAACUUUUCUUGUUAGUAGUAUGUGAAUUGCAUGUUUUUGUUUUCCAUUUUGUUGUCAAUUUUCGUGGUUUUGAGUGAAAUGGGUAGAGAUUUUUUUUGAGAGAGAAAUAGGUAUGGUGAAGAUUAGAGGUUGAAGAAAUGAAAUAUGGAUUUGGAAUGGUGAAAUUUGGAUAGUUUUUAAGGUAAAUGGGUUUUGGGUUGGUGAAGGAAAAGUGAAAUUUUUGGGUGAGAUGAAGGGUGUGAAUUAGUGGUGAGAAUGUAAAUUGAAAAUUAUGCAUAUAACUAUGCAUAGUUUCAGUGUAAAUUGCACAUCUUGGAUUUGAAAAAAUUGCAUGUUUAAUAGGAGAAUACUANNNNNNNNNUUUGUGAACUUUAUAUACAAUAUGUUUAAUAGGAGAAUAUGUCUGAGUCAUGUGGCUCCAAUGCUUUCCCAAAUGCAGAGGUGGAAAAACAAAUAACUAACAAGAAAUGCACUAGAGAUGUUGAAGAAGAAGUUCUGUCUACAACCCAAAAACCAUAUAAGGUAAUAAUUCAAUUUUCUACUUGGUUUUGUUUUAGCUGUUAGAUGUCUUCGUUUAAGACAAAAAGAAACAAAAAUGCAGUUAGAUGAAUUUUGAAACUCGUAACACCUUUUAGGCAAGCAUCGAUUUGUAAUAUACAUAAUGAAUUAUGAGAGGAGGUUGAUUCUGCA
rnacentral:lncRNA from 1 species